GACGAACGCUGGCGGCGUGCUUAACACAUGCAAGUCGUACGGUAAGGCCCUUUCGGGGGUACACGAGUGGCGCACGGGUGAGUAACACGUGAGUAACCUGCCCACAACUUUGGGAUAACGCUAGGAAACUGGUGCUAAUACUGGAUAUGUUCUCCUGCUGCAUGGUGGGGGUUGGAAAGCUCCGGCGGUUGUGGAUGGACUCGCGGCCUAUCAGCUUGUUGGUGGGGUAGUGGCCUACCAAGGCGGCGACGGGUAGCCGGCCUGAGAGGGUGACCGGCCACAUUGGGAAUGAGAUACGGCCCAGAAUACUACGGGAGGAAGCAGUGGGGAAUAUUGCACAAUGGGCGCAAGCCGGAUGCAGCAACGCCGCGUGCGGGAUGACGGCCUUCGGGUUGUAAACCGCUUUCAGCAGGGACGAAGCUUUUUGUGACGGUACCUGCAGAAGAAGCACCGGCUAACUACGUG
rnacentral:rRNA from 1 species